rnacentral:rRNA from 1 species
CCUACGGGAGGCAGCAGUGGGGAAUAUUGCACAAUGGGGGAAACCCUGAUGCAGCAACGCCGCGUGAGUGAAGAAGUAUUUCGGUAUGUAAAGCUCUAUCAGCAGGGAAGAAGAAAGACGGUACCUGACUAAGAAGCCACGGCUAACUACGUGCCAGCAGGCGCGGUAAUACGUAGGGGGCAAGCGUUAACCGGAUUUACUGGGUGUAAAGGGAGCGUAGACGGUUGUGUAAGUCUGAGGUGAAAGCCCGUGGCUCAACCCGGGAACUGCUUUGGAUACUGUAUAACUUGAGUACUGGAGAGGUAGGCGGAAUGCCUGGUGUAGCGGUGAAAUGCGUAGAGAUUAGGAGGAACACCAGUGGCGAAGGCGGCUUACUGGACAGUAACUGACGUUGAGGCACGAAAGCGUGGGGAGCAAACAGGAUUAGAUACCCCUGUAGUC